rnacentral:lncRNA from 1 species
ACUAGUGCACCAAGGCUGUGAGGUAUUUUUAUUGUUGCAUUGUGGAGGUCUAGCUCUAAAUGUCUUAGCUUGUGUAGGCUAGCUAACUCCUCAUUGUGAGGUAUUUUUAUUGUUGCAUUGUAGAGACUUAGCUCUAAAUGUCUUAGCUUGUGUAGGCUUGAAAUUCCACUCAAAUCCACAUCCUCAGAGGAAUGAAGCUCCAGCUCGGAUUCGUGUUGGCGAGUUCAUUUCCUUCAGUUUUCCCAAGCCUGAAGCCGAAAGUAAGAAGAAGUUCUUUGAGCACAAGAAGGUUCGGCCAAAAGCGAGCUCCGACAUUGUAAGGUUCUUGACAAAAGCUUCAGGAGAGGUACGUUUCACUUGACUUGUUUCUUCGUUUUAAUUCUAACCAUUUGCUCACAGAGAGGACGGCUUCCAGCCGACUGGGCCAAGUGUUUGAUACCUUUGGGAAGUGCAAAAUGGCACCAGAGGCUCUUUCUCUUAUGAGCAGCAUAGUUCUCCAUUUGAGGUAGAGUUUUCUGUGUUUACCAGAGACGUUAUGUAUAUGAUGUGCUUGCAGAGUUUAUAUCAACAAGUCAGAAGCCUUACGAGGAGGGGGAUGAGCGCGGAUUGAAGCUUCUGCAAGCUAUCUUGAAGCCGUUAAUGCUUCGAAGAACAAAAGAUUCAACUGAUAGAGAAGGAAGGUAAGCAUUUUUUUCUUUGCACCGUGCCUUGUCUUGUAUUCACUCACAAGUUGGAUUCACAGACCAAUUCUUGUUCUCCAACCGGCUCAAUGUGAGGUUAUUGAAUGCAAACUAUCUGAGCCUGAACGUGAUUUUUAUGAUGCCCUUUAGAACAGAUCUAAGGCAUGAAGAACUUCUCUUUCUUUUAUUUUCUCUUUUUUCUGAACACGUUUUUGCGUUUGUGAUCAGGUAAAAUUCGAUCAGUUCGUUGAACAAGGUAAAGUUCUCCAUAACUAUGCCUCGAUCCUCGAACUGCUACUUCGAUUACGGCAAGCUUGUGAUCAUCCUUUUCUUGUUCUGAGGUAGAAAAUGCAUCCUCUUAUGUCUGAAGUUCCUGACGUUUUCUUCAUCACGCAGCCGUGGCGAUACUGAAGACUUUGCGGACCUAAGAAUUCCUCCCAGGUGCCUUCGACGGCGUAUGUCAAAGAGGUGGUGGAUGAUAUUCAUAAAGGAGAAAGUGCUGAGUGCCCAAUUUGUUUGGAGAUGCACGCAGUUCUUACACCAUGCGCUCAUCGAAUGUGCCGUGAGUGCCUAUUUAAUAGCUGGCGUACUAGCGCCGGAGGUCCCUGUCCAAUAUCCGAGGUAACAUAUUGUUUUUUUUCUCGAGCUCUUUUCCAUAUCCAUAGCUAUCAUGCAGGCGUUCCUGUACGAAAUAGGAACUCAUAACUGUACCAACAAGUAAUCGGUUUCGAAUAAAUGUCGAGGAGCAGUGGAAGGAGUCGUCCAAAGUCGAGGCUCUGCUGCACCACCUCCAAACGUUAAGUGAGGCCGGGUCGAAAAGCGUUGAUUUUAAUCAGUGGACAGCGUUUCUCGACUUGUUAGAGAUACCAUUGAAAAGGUACGAGCGUCUUUCCUUUUGGUGCUUUCUCUUUGUUUGUGUUUCUAACAAUGCACCGCCAGGAAGAACUUCUGUUUCGUCCGCUUGGACGGAACACUAUCGCAGCGUCAGCGAGAACAAGUGCUCAAAAGCUUCAGCAAUAUUCCAGCCGUGGCCGUAAGCUUUUUGUGUUGCUUACCUCCAAGAAACCACUCUAUUUUGUGGACAGGUCAUGCUCUCAUGCUUUUCUCAUGGUACGCGCUAUAGUUUUCUUUUUUAGCCAUCUUCCGAGUCGAGAAUGUGGACGAUCGAGCAUCGGUCAGACGAAGAACGUAUCGAUCAAGCGAUUCAUCGUCAAAGUAAGCGCCACUUGAAACUCUCUUUGACGUUUCUCAUGUCUCUAGAGCAGGACUCGGUGGAGGAGAGAAUGCAACAGGUCCAAGCGAGGAAGCAGCGAUUGAUCGCGAGGGCUCUCACAGACGAAGAGGUGCGAAGCGCUCGAAUCGAGGAGCUCAAAAUGCUAUUUAGAUGAGAAGAAGCAUUUUAACUUAGUGUACAUAGUUAAAGAGGAGAAUAUGCUUCUAGCAUCGGCGCUUGGGUACAAGCACUUUUAGGUUUCUUCCUAUGGCGGACAGCGAAGGAGCAGGCGAUCGCGUCGCAAGCGGCGACGAGCAAGGUAUGCAUGCUAGGAUCGAGAAGCAGCAGCAGCGCCAGCGCCGGCGCCGCGCCGCGAUUUCGCUGGCCUAGAGAGCCGGAGUAGCCGAUCUAGAUUCAUGCAAGCAUAUCAUCUCUAGGAAAUUGAGCUGAACGCUGAGGCUUUGCAGGCGAUCGCGUCGAUUCCUCUCGUCUCCGCGGCCAGGGCGGCUAGAAAGCCGGGGCGCAUUCUAGAGUUUCGGAGUUUCUGGGGCGAUCAGUCAUGUAGCGGGCAGUGAUUCUCUCACAUGGAGCUGGGAGUCAGCCAUGACGUGGAAUCCGCCACAAGUUCCUCCCAGCUUGUCCGCCUUGACUGCCACUACUCAGGCCGAGGAUGAACUGGGCGUGGAUGUGUCGUCUCCCAGCGGCGAUUUGCUGCUCCAUUUUCUCAAGAGCGGUGGGGGCGACGAGCAGCUGAGGAGCAGUAGCAGCUACAGGACCCAGCAGUCGCACCUUACGGUCCCUGCCACAGCUUUGCUCCUUCUGGAGGACCUGGAGGAGGAGGAGAAGGUCCUCCUCCACGACCACUCUACGUCCCAGCAAUAAGAUUUGGUGGGUGGUCACCUCACUUCCAGCAGCACCAAGACCCACUUUUCCCUUCGGAUCCAUUCUUGACUCCGUCGGACCACUGAUUUCUACGCUCGUUUGCUCCUCUUCCAGUCGAGAGACCGUUCCAUCCAGUGCCGUAUCCUUUUCUAAAUGCUCCGACUUUGCAGCCUGCUGAUACAGUGGUUCAUCCGCCGCAUUCCUCUGGGGAGCUUAAAGCUCGUCCUGGCCUUCACUUCGAGUCUCCGGUGUUUGGACCCAGCGCAGCAGAGACCUCGGACUCCAAACGCGCCCCAGAGCAGCCGAGGAGAUCGGUUACACACAAGCAACAAUUCCACGGCAAUGGUUCCGAGCUCCUUCAGUUGUUACAGGGUGGUUCUGGUCGUGUGAAGCCCACAGCCUCCACAAAGGUGGAUGCUACACAGGACAGUGGAGAUUCUGGAGAGCCAUCAAAGAAAGGAAGUCCAUCUGCUGUUCACGGCCCCAUAGGACCGCCGAGGCGUCAUGUCGUUUCUCCUCCGCAGAGUCCAAAUGACCUCCUUGGACGUUUGUGGGCUGCUCUUCCGUCGUCAGGCCACACUUUGUUUGACGGAGAAAGCAAACGCAAGACGUCAGCCCGGAGCUUUGGCGUUGAAGUGAACGAGGUGUCCCGGGAAGUCGAUGGCGGUGGAGCUGCUGGUUUCGCACUUUUGAAGCGAAGGGGAUCGGAGCCUGCCGCCUCGCACUGCCUUUAAACGGCUACGCCUAUAACGACUCUAAGACAAAUGAUAAGCCAAGGACAAACUCAGCAUCCGGAAGACUACAGGACUAUCGUGGGAGAUACGUAAAUGGAGAGGCCGAAGUUGAGCCCGGAGGCGAUGACUUUAGAGGUGCGGGAAGGCGUCGAGGUACCGGUCGUGCAGACGCCAGACGCGGUGGUCGGGGUGCUGUUGGCCAGUGGAUUGCGGUAAAUGAGAGGCAUAAAGAUGCUGAGCCAAGUGACAUCACCUCCUGCGAUAUCUCUGAUGGAAGGGACGAGUCGCUUAAAUCUUCAAACGGGACUUAGUCGAAUGCUAGGACAAAACAUCAACAGGAAUGGAGGAUAAAACAGGCUGACUCAAAGGCAGCAUUUCCAGCGGAGAAAAAACCGGACUACAAGGUUCCAAAGGCACGGUCUUCGGCAUCUCAACUUGGCAUCUCAACUUGAACGUCCAGGCUUGCCAUCGGGAAGUACGCAAAACUCUUCCGUUGGUGCGGCUUUUGAGGAGUCCAAACAGAGGCUCCAUAAUCUAGAUGCUUUGGAAGGAGAAGGCGUGACGACCUCUCUAGAUCUCGAGGAGCUACAAAUUGACGGUCACCGUCGUGAGGGUAACACUCCACAGUUUGACAAGGUUUGUGCUUGCCUUUUUUCUUUCUUUAUUUUCAUGUGUUUGUAUCUCUGGUUACAGCCGAAGGAGAACCGUUUCAGGACCUCUGAAGAACUAAAGGUAUGCAUAUGCAUAUUCUUAAUAUUGUUAUGUUUUACCAUUUACUCUAUACACCAGAUUUUAAAAUACUCAAAACCACGAGAGUAAAGUAAUAUCCUGAGAAUACGAUUUGUAAGCAAAACAGAAACUAUGUCUUCUCCAAACGCUGCUGACGGCUUGGAAAUCUCUGUUUUUGUUUUUUGAGUUAUGCAAAAUAGUGUAGCAUUUGCGCAGAUCGAGAACCCAAUCGAUGUCCACUGAAGGAGCAAGGUUUAAGCCCAGAAGAUUAUCUGGAGAUCCGGCCGCUCCUCAAGCCAUGUUGGAACUUUCGAACCUUUUGGGCAGUAUACGACUUUGAGCCUGGGAAAUAAGCCAAGGCCGUGAUUGUCUGAACUCAAUUGGGACCACACUACAUCAUCAUGAUCAGAGAGCACAAGUUCCUCCAAUCCUGAAAGGGAUGCAACGGAUGAUGGAAUAUCUUCGAUCCCAUAGAAGUGCACACGUCUUAAAAGAGUCAUCUGGUCUGUUGGCUCAAAGAAAUCAUUGGGGAGCUGCCUCAUACAGCCCUUCCGCAAAGAUAAUGCGAACCGUUUCACCUUCAGCUGUGAUCUCUCGGUUGGCAUCAAGAGUCUCCUCAUGUAACCUUCUACUCUCAGUUCCUCAAGGUCUUUGGGGAGUUGUGUCACAAAGAGAGGCAAAUGCUCCCAUGUAUUAUCAGGAGCCAGAUAGAAUCUUAACCUCUUCAGGUUUGGAAGACUUGCUGCCAAAUCAUCCUUGAACUUCGACUGUGCAAUGUGCAGGUUUCCAAGCUCCAGCCAUUCGAGGCAUGGGAACGAUCCAUCCAGACUGAAGAACUGGAUACCACUGCAGUCUAGUUGAAGUUCUCGUAGCCGUUGAAAGACCUUUAGCCAAGACAGGUCUUUCAUUGUCUCAUUGUUUAUGAUCGUUAAAAGUUGUAGCUGUGGCCAUUCAAGGCUUUCGGCAUUGUUUUCACCGUCUUGUACCCCGUCAAUCGAAAAGUUCUGAAGCUGUUUGGAAUUCUUAAACAUUCGCUUCCAGUCAAGUUUGAUAGUCGAUUGCACGCUAAUGUGACAUCGUCUUAGAUUGACAAGUUGCCACGGGCCGGUGAAAUCGCCAAAGUCCAUGCUCUUUGCACGCAACUCCAGUGUCUCAAUGUCCACUAGUGCACCAAGGUUGUGAGGUAUUUUUAUUGUUGCACCUUUGAAGUCUAGCUUUAAAUCUCUUAGCUUGUGUAGGCUUGAAAUUCCACUCAAAUCCAUAGCCACAGCUAACUCCUUACAAGAUUCAAGCUCCAGACGUUUGAGGCAUGGGAACGAUCCAUCCAGACUGAAGAACUGGAUACCACUGCAGUCUAGGUGAAGGUCUCGUAGCCGUUGAAAGACCUUUAGCCAAGACAGGUCUUUCAUUGUCUCAUUGUUUGCGAUGGAUAAAGCUUGUAGCUGCAGCCAUUCGAGGCUUUCGGCAUUGUUUUCACCGUGUUGUACCCCGUCAAUCGAAAAGUGCUGAAGCUGUUUGGAAUUCUUAAACAUUCGCUUCCAGUCAAGUUUGAUAGUCGAUUUCACCCUAAUCUCACAUCGUUUCAGAUUGACAAGUUGCCACGGGCCUGUGAAAUCGCCAAAGUCCAUGCUCUUUGCACGCAACACCAGUGUCUCAAUGUCCUCUAGUGCACCAAGGCCGUGAGGUAUUUUUAUUGUUGCCUUGUGGAGGCCUAGCUCUAAAUGUCUUAGCUUGUGUAGGCUUGAAAUUCCACUCAAAUCCACAGCUAACUCCUCAAAGGAAUAAAGCUCCAGCUCUUCCAAGUUGAAUAAUUGGGGCACUAAUCCAAAGUUGAGAUUUCUGGUAGCCUUGCAUUUCAAAACCUUCAGUGAUGUCAAGCUGAAGAGCGCAUCUGGUAAUAUUGUCACACUUGAUGGUACAAGGCACAUCUCUCGAAGGUCAAGCACUUGAAGGUUUCUCAGCUUGGAUAUGCUCUCUGGAAUAAAACGGACCAAAUUAUCGCAUCCAUUCAAGCUCAAUACCUUGACAUUUUGGAUGUGAUCUAUAAUAAGACUGACAUCCACACCAGAAAUUUUAUGACAUCGAUCGAGAAGCAAGACAUCUCGCACAUGAAUGUCAGACAAAAGGCUGCUUGUAACCUUCUUUCCAAUGAAUGAAACUUUAGAAAAUGUUGGAGAAAUCCCAGGUGGACAAUCAUAGCCAAACAGGCAUCCCUUCUCGUGCUCUUCCUGGGGUGGGUACUUCCCUUUCAAGAUUCUUAUGCACAGCUUGCGUACCAUAUCGUGCACAGUUACAUACUUGUCCCGAAGUAUACUAGUUGUCUUCACUAGGCAUCUUCGUUCCAGUUCACUAACAAUCUGCAGAGGCGAGAGUUCUGACCCAACCGCUAUCCAACAUUUUCUCAGAUCAUCAAAGUUGAUGUUCCAAUCUUCUGGAAACGCAGCCACAUAGAGAAAGCACUCUUGCAGCUUUUCAUCCUUAUUAAAGCGUCCCAGCUCGUCAUAGCUAAACUUCAAGCGCUGGAACAUCCGCUUCUCAAUGUCCCCGUCAUUCAACAAAUGCAUCUUCUGAUAGCGUUCUUUCCACACCUGUGGCCCCUCAUUCCUGUAGACAGCCAUGGCACUGCCAAUCACUUCAAGAGCUAGAGGGAGCCCCUCACAUUUGCUAGCUAUUCUCUCGGCAACUUUCACAAUGUCCGGAUCACUAGGUCGUGAAUCACGAAAGGCAAACUUCCAAAACAUCUUUUCGCUCUCGGCCUUUGAUAGCAUACACACACGAAAUGUUUUUGCACCCAGCAUGCUCAAAAUGUCUUCCUUUCUGGUUGUUACCAGCACCCGGCUGUAAGAGGACGACCCUGCCAUAAAAUCCAGUCUCUCGGCCCAGCUCAUGUCCCACACAUCAUCCAGUAUCAGCAAGACACAAAUUCCACGAGCAACAUUUUGUGCCAAGUGCUGCACAUGCUCAAGGGUGCCUGCAUUUUGGGCCCUCUCUUUCAUGCCGCCCCAUUCAAGAGCGUUGAGGAGCUGGGCCCUGAGAUCAUCCUCCGAUGCAUCUUUCUUGACAGUAAUCCACACAAUGUUGUCAUGGAAAUGCUGGCGGACCCUCUGGUCAUUGUUCACGAAUCUUGCAAGGGUGGUCUUGCCACACCCUCCCAUUCCCAGGAGUCCAAACCAUUUCCCCGGGGCUUGUGGAUCCAGGAGGGCAUUCACCACCUCAUCCACCUGCUCCCCAUGGCGGCCAAACAUGUCGCUGGGCUCGGGAACACCAUGCCGUACAUACUUUACGAGACCUCUGUCUUGUGGACAGCUCCGUACGGAAAAGCUGGUGCUCGGCUGUAUCACUCUCAACUCUUCUCGCUCGUACCUUUCAAUGUGCGGGAGGAGAUCGUUCUCGCAAGUGCGUACCAGCUCCGAAAUCGCGCCAGAUCGCUUCUCCCUGCGCGACAGAUCCAUCUUUUAGCUCCAUUGCUUCAAACAUGAAUUCGAAUAAGCCUUACUGUGAUCCAAGCAGCGCUUGCGCCGUCUUAGUCCAUUCAGUCAGUUCAGUCAGCCACGCCUCAGCCUCACCAGAGUAGCGGAAAUCUGGAUUCCUGUGCUUGGGAGCAUUAAACUUGUCGAGCGUGGCCUGGAUUCUGGAUGCCCUCUUCUUUAGCUCCUCAAUGUGGACAUUCAGCUCAUGCUCGUGACCUUGGAUCUGCGACAGGAGAUCGUCGUAGGCACUUAAGGACUUCGCGAUCUCGUUACUCCGCUUGUACCUAUAGGAAGUGGAGAAGUUCAACCAGCUGCCUGCCAUUUCUACACACACACACACACACAAAAGAUAAAAUGCUACUGUACCGACCGCUUUAUGGGGCUCCAGAUCCUGUUGUGGCGUGAUCCCAAGAGUGCUUGUGCGUUGGUGUUCCAUUUCCUGACACGCUCCAAGCAUUCCUCGGCCGCUUGAGAGAACGUGAAGCCAGAAUUCUGCUGCUUGUGAUCACUGAAAGCGUUGAUCUUGGCCUGGAUGUGGUGCGCCUUGUUCUCCAGCGUUUCAAUGUUGGCAUUGCAGUCCCAUAUCUUCUUAGCAGGGGCCAGAGCCAAGCCACACAAGACGCUUGUCAAGGAGCCCACAACCUCCAUGGCUGUAGACCUACAAGUAAAGGUUGUCUCCCUCCCAGAAAGAAGCGCAAUAUUAACUCUUGACCUUGUAGAUCGGAAUUCUUCACUUUUUUCACAGCUGUGACUCACUCACUCUAAGAGAUUCACAGUGAGCACCGCAACGAUCGCUACAUCGCUCGCAAGAAACACCUCUAUUUGUCCAAACAGACAAAGGUGAAGUACUUUUAAGACGCCCGAGAAGAACAUCGUCUUUUCUCUUGUACGGCGUUGAUCCAGGCGUACGGGAAUAGAGGGCUCCUCUGCCGAUCUUUGAUGGGAUCCGGGCGAUCUUGUCACCGACGUCUUGAAAGAUCUUAGAUUCUAUCCGCAAUCGCCCAGUCAAUGCGAUCCUGGCGAUGGGUGCUCCAUAUCAUUCUAUUCCCGCCCGGACGUGAUCUCCAGGAUUUGCGAAGAAGAAGCUCUUCGAUCAGAUGCGCGAUGCUGGCGCGCAAUUGAUUGGAGCUUCCCGCUACAUUUUCCCGCGCUAUCGUCUCUACUUCUCCAUUCUAGGGUUCUUUCUUGGAGGCGACGUAGGUUUUCUAUUGCCCGCGUGGUCGAGGAGACGGCGCUGGGGGGCGGCCUUGAUCGGCGUUCUGGAGCUGCCCCUGCAAAAGCUGAGGCUUCUAGGACAGCAAAAAUUGCCGAGGUGAGCAAUGAUAGUGGAGCAGAGGAUUUAUAUGAUUCGGGAGUAGAAAGUGGAGCAAUCGAUGGUGAGGAAGAAGAGGUAAACAAGAUUAUGGCUGGAGGAGGAAACGAUGCUGAGGUGGAAAGAACAACAGUGGUCGAGAGCUCCAUUGAGACUGUCAGGAAACAUGGCGAAGCUGUUUCUACUUUCAAUCAGAGGUAGUGCCUUGACCCACGGUAAUCCCGUUAAGAUGGAAGCUGGUUGUGGUUCCGUGAAAGCUGAAGCUUCGGUUUCGAUCGCAGCUGGAUGUGAUCCUAUGAAAGUAGAUGGCUUGGUGAAGAUGGAAGCUGGUUUUGAGUCUGCAAGAGUCGAAGCCCCGGUUGGCUCGGUGAAGAUGGAACCUGGUUAUCAUACUGUGAAAGUUGAAACUCCAUUCGGGGGUGGUAAAGCUGCCCAUUUGUCUGAAGCGAAGGUGGUUCCAAUAGAAAAUGACACGGCUAAAGCUGCAGAAAAGCAACCGGUUGUUUUAGAUGCAGAGAGGUGGUGGCUUCUCCAAGAGACUGAAGUUGCCGGGUACUCGACGUCCAGGGGAUGCCGGAUUCGUGUUGGCGAGUUCGUGUCCUUCAAUUUUCCCAAGCCUGAAGCCGAAAGUAAGAAGAAGUUCUUUGAGCACAAGAGGGUUCGGCCGAAAGCGAGCUCCGACAUUGUAAGGUUCUUGACAAAAGCUUCAGGAGAGGUACGUUUCACUUGACUUGUUUCUUCGUUUUACUUCUAACCAUUUGCUCACAGAUAGGACGGCUUCCAGCCGACUGGGCCAAGUGUUUGAUACCUUUGGGAAGUGCAAAAUGGCACCAGAGGCUCUUUCUCUUAUGAGCAGCAUAGUUCUCCAUUUGAGGUAGAGUUUCUGUGUUUACCAGAGACGUUACGUAUAUGAUGUGCUUGUGUUUAUAUCAACAAGUCAGAAGCCUUACGAGGAGGGGGUUGAGCGCGGAUUGAAGCUUCUGCAAGCUAUCUUGAAGCCGUUAAUGCUUCGAAGAAAAAAAGAUUCAACUGAUAAAGAAGAAAGGUAAGCAUUUUUUUCUUUGCACCGUGCCUUGUCUUGUAUUCACUCACAAGUUGGAUUCACAGACCAAUUCCUGUUCUCCAACCGGCUCAAUGUGAAGUUAUUGAAUGCAAACUAUCUGAGCCUGAAUGCCCUUUACCACAGAUCUAAGGCAUGAAGAACUUCUCUUUCUUUUAUUUUCUCGUUUUUUCUGAACACGUUUUUGCUUUUGUGAUCAGGUAAAAUUCGAUCAGUUCGUUGAACAAGGUAAAGUUCUCCAUAACUAUGCCUCGAUCCUCGAACUGCUACUUCGAUUACGGCAAGCUUGUGAUCAUCCUUUUCUUGUUCUGAGGUAGAAAAUGCAUCCUCUUAUGUCUGAAGUUCCUGACGUUUUCUUCGUCACGCAGCCGUGGCGAUACUGAAGACUUUGCGGACCUGGGAAAGCUGGCUAGACGUUUCUUGGACAAGAAUUCCUCCCAGGUGCCUUCGACGGCUAUGUCAAAGAGGUGGUGGAUGAUAUUCGUAAAGGAGAAAGUGCUGAGUGCCCAAUUUGUUUGGAGAUGCACGCAGUUCUCACACCAUGCGCUCAUUGAAUGUGAGCGCCGGAGGUCCCUGUCCAAUAUCCGAGGUAACAUAUUGUUUUUUUUCUCGAGCUCUUUUCCAUAUCCAUAGCUAUCAUGCAGGCGUUCCUGUACGAAAUAGGAACUCAUAACUGUACCAACAAGUAAUCGGUUUCGAAUAAAUGUCGAGGAGCAGUGGAAGGAGUCGUCCAAAGUCGAGGCUCUGCUGCACCACCUCCAGACGUUAAGUGAGGCCGGGUCGAAAAGCGUUGUUUUUAGUCAGUGGACAGCGUUUCUCGACUUGUUAGAGAUACCAUUGAAAAGGUACGAGCGUCUUUCCUUUUGGUGCUUUCUCUUUGUUUGUGUUUCUAACAAUGCACUGCCAGGAAGAACUUCUGUUUCGUCCGCUUGGACGGAACACUAUCGCAGCGUCAGCGAGAACAAGUGCUCAAAAACUUCAGCAAUAUUCCAGCCGUGGCCGUAAGCUUUUCGUGUUGCUUACCUCCAAGAAACCACUCUAUUUUGUGGACAGGUCAUGCUCAUGCUUUUCUCAUGGUAUGCGCUAUAGUUAUCUUUUUUAGCCAUCUUCCGAGUCGAGCAUCGGUCAGACGAAGAACGUAUCGAUCAAGCGAUUCAUCGUCAAAGUAAGCGCCAGUUGAAACUCUCUUUGACGUUUCUCAUGUCUCUAGAGGCGAGACAUGAGACAGAAGAACUGGAACAUAGUUAAAGAGGGGAAUAUGCUUCUAGCAUCGGCGCGUAGAUAGUUCAUAGGCUAUGGAUAUAGGAGCUUUGGCUAGGUUACAAGCAUUUCUAGGUUUCUUCGCGGCUAUGGCGGACAGCGAAGGAGCAGGCGAUCGCGUCGCAAGCGCGUUUGAUUCCGGCAGCAUCGGCGACGAGCAAGGUAUGCAUGCUAGGAUCGCCUCGAGAAGCAGCAGCAGCGCCGGCGCCGGCGCCGCGCCGCGAUUUCGCUGGCCUAGAGCCGAGUAUGAUCUCUAGGAAAUUGAGCUGAACGCUGAGGCUUUGCAGGCGAUCGCGUUGAUUCCUCUCGUCUCCGCGGCCGGGGCGGCUAGAAAGCCGGGGCGCAUUCUAGAGUUUCGGGGUUUCUGGGGCGAUCAGUCAUGUAGCGGGCAGUGAUUCUCUCACAGGGAGCUGGAAGUCAGCCAUGACGUGGAAUCCGCCACAAGUUCCUCCCAGCUUGUCCGCCUUGACUGCCACUACUCAGGCCGACGAUGAACUGGGCGUGGAUGUGUCGUCUCCCAGCGGCGAUUUGCUACUCCAAUUUCUCAAGAGUGGUGGGGGCGACGAUUAGCUGAGGAGCAGUAGCAGCUACAGGACCCAGCAGUCGCAGCUCACGGUCCCUGCCACAGCUUUGCUCCUUCUGGAGGAGGAGGAGAAGGUCCUCCUCCACGACCACUCUACGUCCCAGCAACAAGAUUUGGUGGGUGGUCACCUCACUUCCAGCGGCACCAAAACCCACUUUUCCCUUCGGAUCCAUUCUUGACUCCGUCGGACCACUGAUUUCUACGCUCGUUUGCUCCUCUUCCAGUCGAGAGACCGUUCCAUCCGCCAGUGCCGUAUCCUUUUCCAAAUGCUCCGACUUUCCAGCCUGCUGAUAAUGUGGUUCAUCCGCCGCAUUCCUCUGGGGAGCUUAAAGCUCGUCCUGGCCUUCACUUCGAGUCUCCGGUGUUUGGACCCAGCACAGCAGAGACCUCGGACUCCAAGCGCGCCCCAGAGCAGCCGAGGAGAUCGGUUACACCUGCGAAGGAUGACAAGCAACAAUUCCACGGCAAUGGUUCCGAGCUCCUUCAGUUGUUACAGGGUGGUCCUGGUCGUGUGAAGCCCACAGCCUCCACAAAGGUGGAUGCUACACGGGACAGUGGGGAUUCUGGAGAGCCAUCAAAGAAAGGAAGUCCAUCUGCUGUUCACGGCCCCAUAGGACCGCCGAGGCGUCAUGUCGUUUCUCCUCCGCAGAGUCCAAAUGACCUCCUUGGACGUUUGUGGGCUGCUCUUCCGUCGUCAAGCCACACUUUGUUUGACGGAGAAAGCGAACGCAAGACGUCAGCCCGGAGCUUUGGCGUUGAAGUGAACGAGAUGUCCCGGGAAGUCGAUGGAGGUGGAGCUGCUGGUUUCGCACUUUUGAAGCGAAGGGGAUCGGAGCCUGCCGCCUCGCACUACCUUUAAACGACUACGACUAUAACGACUCUAAGACAAAUGAUAAGCCGAGGACAAACUCAGCAUCCGGAAGAGUAUCGUGGGAGAUACGUAAAUGGAGAGGCCGAAUUUGAGCCCGGAGGCGAUGACUUUAGAGGUGCGGGAAGGCGUCGAGGUCCCGGUCGUGCAGACGCCAGACGCGGUGGUCGGGGUGCUGUUGGCCAGUGGAUUGCGGUAAAUGAGAGGCAUAAAGAUGCUGAGCCAAGACAUCACCUCCUGCGAUAUCUCUGAUGGAAGGGACGAGUCGCUUAAAUCUUCAAACGGGACUUAGUCGAAUGCUAGGAGAAAACAUCAACAGGAAUGGAGGAUCCGGACUACAAGGUUGCAAAGGCACGGUCUUUGGCAUCUCAACUUGAACGUCCAGGCUUGCCAUCGGGAAGUACGCAAAACUCUUCCGUUGGCGCGGCUUUUGAGGAGUCCAAACAGAGGCUCCAUAAUCUAGAUGCUUUGGAAGGAGAAGGCGUGACGACCUCUCUAGAUCUCGAGGAGCUACAAAUUGACGGUCACCGUCGUGAGGGUAAAGCUCCACAGUUUUACAAGGUUUGUGCUUGCUUUUUUUCUUUCUCUAUUUUCAUGUGUUUGUAUCUCUGGUUACAGCCGAAGGAGAACCGUUUCAGGACCUCUGAAGAACUAAAGGUAUGCAUAUGCAUAUUCUUAAUAUUGUUAUGUUUUCCAUGUUUUACCAUUUACUCUAUACACCAGAUUUUAAAAUACUCAAAACCACGAGAGUAAAGUAAUAUCCUGAGAAUACGAUUUGUAAGAAAAACAGAAACUGUGUCUUCUCCAAACGCUGCUGACGGCUUGGAAAUCUCUGUUUUUGUUUUUUGAGUGAUGCAAAAUGGUGUAGCAUUUGCGCAGAUCUUCAAAAACCCAAUCGAUGUCCACUGAAGGAGCAAGGUUUAAUCCCUGAAUUUUAUCUGGAGAUCCGGCCGCUCCUCAAGCCAUGGUGGAACUUUCGUACCUUUUUGGCAGCGUAGGUCUUUGAGCCUGGGAAAUAAGCCAAGGCCGUGAUUGUCUGAACUCAAUUGGGACCACACUACAUCAUCAUGAUCAGAGAGCACAAGUUCCUCCAAUCCGGGAAGGGAUGCAAUGGAUGAUGGAAUAUUUUCGAUCCUAUUCAAGGUUACAUCUCUUAGAGCAGUCAUCUGGUCUGUUGGCUCAAAGAAAUCAUUGGGGAGCUGCCUCAUACAGCCCUUCCGCAAAGAUAAUGCGAACCGUUUCACCUUCAGCUGUGAUCUCUCGGUUGGCAUCAAGAGUCUCCUCAUGUAACCUUCUACUCUCAGUUCAUCAAGGUCUUUGGGGAGUUGUGUCACAAAGAGAGGCAAAUGCUCCCAUGUAUUAUCAGGAGCCAGAUAGAAUCUUAACCACUUCAGGUUUGGAAGACUUGCUGUGAACUCGGACUGUGCAAUGUGUAGAUUUUGAAGGCCCAGAACUUCAAGGCAUGGGAACGAUCCAUCCAGACUGAAGAACUGGAUACCACUGCAGUCUAGGUGAAGUACUUGUAGCCGUUGAAAGCCCUUUAGCCAAGACAGGUCUUUCAUUGUCUCAUUGUUUGUGAUCCUUAAAUAUUGUAGCUGUAGCCAUUCGAGGCUUUCGGCAUUGUUUUCACCGUCUUGUACCCCGUCAAUCGAAAAGAGCUGAAGCUGUUUGGAAUUCUUAAACAUUCGCUUCCAGUCAAGUUUGAUAGUCGAUUGCACGCUAAUGUGACAUCGUCUUAGAUUGACAAGUUGCCACGGGCCGGUGAAAUCGCCAAAGUCCAUGCUCUUUGCACGCAACUCCAGUGUCUCAAUGUCCACUAGUGCACCAAGGUUGUGAGGUAUUUUUAUUGUUGCACCUUUGAAGUCUAGCUUUAAAUCUCUUAGCUUGUGUAGGCUUGAAAUUCCACUCAAAUCCAUAGCCACAGCUAACUCCUUACAAGAUUCAAGCUCCAGACGUUUGAGGCAUGGGAACGAUCCAUCCAGACUGAAGAACUGGAUACCACUGCAGUCUAGGUGAAGGUCUCGUAGCCGUUGAAAGCCCUUUAGCCAAGACAGGUCUUUCAUUGUCUCAUUGUUUAUGAUCGUUAAAAGUUGUAGCUGUGGCCAUUCAAGGCUUUCGGCAUUGUUUUCACCGUCUUGUACCCCGUCAAUGGUAAAGUCCUGAAGCUGUUUGGAAUUCUUAAACAUUCGCUUGCAGUCAAGUUUGAUAGUCGAUCCCACCCUAAUCUGACAUCGUCUUAGAUUGACAAGUUGCCACGGGCCGGUGAAAUCGCCAAAGUCCAUGCUCUUUGCCCACAACUCCAGUGUCUCAAUGUCCUCUAGUGCACCAAGGCCGUGAGGUAUUUUUAUUGUUGCACCUUUGAAGUCUAGCUUUAAAUCUCUUAGCUUGUGUAGGCUUGAAAUUCCACUCAAAUCCACAGCUAACUCCUCAAAGGAAUAAAGCUCCAGCUCUUCCAAGUUGAAUAAUUGGGGCACUAAUCCAAAGUUGAGAUUUCUGGUAGCCUUGCAUUUCAAAACCUUCAGUGAUGUCAAGCUGAAGAGCGCAUCUGGUAAUAUUGUCACACUUGAUGGUACAAGGCACAUCUCUCGAAGGUCAAGCACUUGAAGGUUUCUCAGCUUGGAUAUGCUCUCUGGAAUAAAAGGGACCAAAUUAUCGCAUCCCUUGAAGCUCAAUACCUUGACAUUUUGGAUGUGAUCUAUAAUAAGACUGACAUCCACACCAGAAAUUUCAUGACAUCCAUCGAGAAGCAAGACAUCUCGCACAUGAAUGUCAGACAAAAGGCUGCUUGUAACCUUCUUUCCAAUGAAUGAAACUUUAGAAAAUGUUGGAGAAAUCCCAGGUGGACAAUCAUAGCCAAACAGGCAUCCCUUCUCGUGCUCUUCCUGGGGUGGGUACUUCCCUUUCAAGAUUCUUAUGCACAGCUUGCGUACCAUAUCGUGCACAGUUACAGACUUUUCCCGAAGUCUUUUCCCACUUAAAUAUGUCUUCACUAGGCAUCUUCGUUUCAGUUCACUAACAAUCUGCAGAGGCGAGAGUUCUGACCCAACCGCUAUCCAACAUUUUCUCAGAUCAUCAAAGUCGAUUUGCUCAUCUUCUGGAAACGCAGCCACAUAGAGAAAGCACUCUUGCAGCUUUUCAUCCUUAUUAAAGCGUCCCAGCUCGUCAUAGCUAAACUUCAAGCGCUGGAACAUCCGCUUCUCAAUGUCCCCGUCAUUCAACAAAUGCAUCUUCUGAUAGCGUUCUUUCCACACCUGUGGCCCCUCAUUCCUGUAGACAGCCAUGGCACUGCCAAUCACUUCAAGAGCUAAAGGGAGCCCCUCACAUUUGCUAGCUAUUCUCUCGGCAACUUUCACAAUGUCCGGAUCACUAGGUAGUGAAUCAUAAAAGGCAAACUUCCAAAACAUCUUUUUGCUCUCGUCCUCUGAUAGCUUAUGCACAGGAAAUACCUUUGCACCCAGCUUGCUCAAAAUGUCUUCCUUUCUGGUUGUUACCAGCACCCGGCUGUAAGAGGACAGCCCUGCUAUAAAAUCCAGUCCCUUGGCCAAGCUCAUCUCCCACACAUCAUCCAGUAUCAGCAAGACACGAAUUCCACGAGCAACAUUUUGUGCCAAGUGCUGCACAUGCUCAAGGGUGCCUGCAUUUUGGGCCCUCUCUUUCAUGCCGCCCCAGUCAAGAGCGUUGAGGAGCUGGGCCCUGAGAUCAUCCUCCGAUGCAUCUUUCUUGACAGUGAUCCAUACAAUGUUGUCAUGGAAAUGCUGCCGGACCCUCUGGUCAUUGUGCACGAAGCUUGCAAGGGUGGUCUUGCCACACCCUCCCAUUCCCAGGAGUCCAAACCAUUUCCCCGGGGCUUGUGGAUCCAGGAGGGCAUUCACCACCUCAUCCAGCUGCUCCCCAUGGCGGCCAAACAUGUCGUUGGCCUCGGGAACACCAUGCCGUACAUAGUUUACGAGACCUCUGUCUUGUGGACAACUCCGUACGGAAAAGCUGGUGCUCGGCUGUAUCCCUCUCAACUCUCGCUCGUACCUUUCAAUGUGCGGGAGGAGAUCGUUCUCGCAAGUGCGUACCAGCUCCGAAAUCGCGCCAGAUCGCUUCUCCCUGCGCGACAGAUCCAUCUUUUAGCUCCAUUGCUUCAAACAUGAAUUCGAAUAAGCCUUACUGUGAUCCAAGCAGCGCUUGCGCCUUCUUAGUCCAUUCAGUCAGUUCAGUCAGCCACGCCUCAGCCUCACCAGAGUAGCGGAAAUCUGGAUUCCUGUGCUUGGGAGCAUUAAACUUGUCAAGCGUGGCCUGGAUUCUGGAUGCCCUCUUCUUUAGCUCCUCAAUGUGGACAUUCAGCUCAUGCUCGUGACCUUGGAUCUGCGACAGGAGAUCGCCGUAGGCACUUAAGGACUUCGCGAUCUCGUUACUCCGCUUGUACCUAUAGGAAGUGGAGAAGUUCAACCAGCUGCCUGCCAUUUCUACACACACACACACAAAAGAUAAAAUGCUACUGUACCGACCGCUUUAUGGGGCUCCAGAUCCUGUUGUGGCGUGAUCCCAAGAGUGCUUGUGCCGUGGUGUUCCAUUUCCUGACACGCUCCAAGCAUUCCUCGGCCGCUUGAGAGAACGUGAAGCCAGGAUUCUGCUGCUUGUGAUCACUGAAAGCGUUGAUCUUGUGCCGGAUGUGGGGCGCCUUGUUCUCCAGCGUUUCAAUGUUGGCAUUGCAGUCCCAUAUCUUCUUAGCAGGGCGCAGAGCCAAGCCACACAAGGCGCUUGCCAAGGAGCCCACAACCUCCAUGCCUGUAGACCUACAAGUCAAGGUCGUUUCCCUCUUGCAAUGCCAGCUGUGGCUCUCUAUCUCUCUCUCUCUCUCAUACACAAAAUAGCUGGGAGGCCUUGACAGAUUUUCGAUGGCCUGCACAAACCAAACCAGUUCUCGUGGAACAUCUUGCUGCGAACGUAUGUUGCAAAUCGUAGGAUGCCCCCGAUUCCAUGGGAACAGGUUUAUGGAUGAGGAAAAGAAGCUGUUUGAUUCGAUCGCUUCUCGUGAAAUAUUAUGAUCAAGGGGCUCGACUUCGCAAAGAGGAAAGAUGCUAUCUCUUCUGGCAGCACCUGCUCGAAUAAGGCAUUUGGAAGAAGCAAAAACUCUCCUUUUAAUGCGAUGCCUCGGAGGAAAAACGUGCUUGCAAGAAACACAAUGAUUGUCAACCAUACGCUCUCAAAGAGCCUAUUUGACCAGAGCCAUACAGGAAUCUUGUGUCUUGGGCAGGCAUGCUACAACGCAUCUUUAAAUGAAGGUGGAAGUUGCAACUUCGAUGAUGCCGAACUAAAACUCUCUCUCAUAACUCUGGCUCUCUCUCUCUCUCUCUCUCUCAAUAAUAACGUUUUGAGCAGCUGUUCUUCCAUCCAGGCAUUUGCUGUAUUCGUUCAUCUUUGCAUAAACCCCAGCGACCUUCACAACAUAAGAGCUAGAGUGAUUCACGGUGAGCACUGCAACGAUUGCUACCUCGCCAAUCUCAUCGUCCAAAAGUAUGGGGGGCUGUGGGGUACUCGACAGAUGUUCACUGGAACAUCUUUCUGGGAAAAAUCGGUUGAGCGGAGAUCCAAGAGCGAUGUGGUCGCAUGGAACUUGAUCCUCGCAGCGUAUGCCUAAAACGCUCAGUCUAAAGAGAUGUUUCUUUAGAAAAACAAUGAUCAUUCUUUGUUUUACGAGCACGCAAAGUACUUGUGUCUGAGAGUAUGAGCAUCGUCUUGUCUCUUGUACGGCGUUGAUGCAGGCGUUUUGAAAUAUAUGGCUCCUCUGCCGAUCUUUGAUGGGAUCAUGGCGAUCUUGUCACCGACGUCUUGAAAGAUCUUAGAUACUAUCCACGAUCGCCCAGUCGCCUCCUCGAACGCGAUCAUGGCGAUGGGUGCUGCAUAUCAUUCUAUUCCCACCCGGACGUGAUCUGCAAUUAUCGUCUUUACUUCUCCAUUCUAGGGUUCUUUCUUGGAGGGGAUUUAGGUUUUUAAUUGCCCGCGUGAUCGAUGCGGCUUGCCGGCGGAGAAGGCUCAGAAAUCCCCAUUACCUUGUGCAGCUCCAGAACGCCGAUCAAGGCCGCCCCCAGCGCCGUCUCCUUGACAACGAAAGCUUUCGGGCCGUGCGGGAUGUCCUUGGCAGCGAUGUCUGCGACAUGGAUCUCGUCCACGCGCUACACUUGGCGAGGAACGAUUUGCAAGUGGCCGUGCUCGACACUCCGGGUUUUAGAAAUAGGAAGAGGCUCCAGGCGAGGAACGAUUUGCAAGUGGCCGCCCACAUUGUGCUCGACACUCCUGCAAAAAACUCCUGCAAAAGCUGAGGCUUCUAGGACAGCAAAAAUUUCCGAGGUGAGCAAUGAUAGUGGAGCAGAGGAUUUAUAUGAUUCGGGAGUAGAAAGUGGAGCAAUCGAUGGUGGGGAAGAAGAGGUAAACAAGAUUAUGACUGGAGGAGGAAACGAUGCCGAGGUGGAAAGAACAACAGUGGUGGAGAGCUCCAUUGAGACUGUCAGGAAACAUGGCGAGGCUGUUUCUAGCGCCUUAGCUGGACUUUCAAUCAGAGGUAGUGCCUUGACCCACGGUAAUCCCGUUAAGAUGGAAGCUGGCUGUGAUUCCGUGAAAGCUGAAGCUUCGGUUUCGAUCGCAGCUGGAUGUGAUCCUACGAAAGUAGAUGGCUUGGUGAAGAUGGAAGCUGGUUGUUUUAGAUGCAGAGAGGUGGUGGCUUCUCCAAGAGACUGAAGUUGCCGGGUACUCGACGUCCAGGGGAUGCCGGAUUCGAGUUGGCGAGUUCGUGUCCUUCAAUUUUCCCAAGCCUGAAGCCGAAAGUAAGAAGAAGUUCUUUGAGCACAAGAAGGUUCGGCCGAAAGCAAGCUCCGACAUUGUAAGGUUCUUGACAAAAGCUUCAGGAGAGGUACGUUUCACUUGACUUGUUUCUUCGUUUUAAUUCUAACCAUUUGCUCACAGAGAGGACGGCUUCCAGCCGACUGGUGAUACCUUUGGGAAGUGCAAAAUGGCACCAGAGGCUCUUUCUCUUAUGAGCAGCAUAGUUCUCCAUUUGAGGUAGAGUUUUCUGUGUUUACCAGAGACGUUACGUAUAUGAUGUGCUUGCAGAGUUUAAAGCCUUACGAGGAGGGGGAUGAGCGCGGAUUGAAGCUUCUGCAAGCUAUCUUGAAGCCGUUAAUGCUUCGAAGAAAAAAAGAUUCAACUGAUAAAGAAGAAAGGUAAGCAUUUUUUUCUUUGCACCGUGCCUUGUCUUGUAUUCACUCACAAGUUGGAUUCACAGACCAAUUCCUGUUCUCCAACCGGCUCAAUGUGAAGUUAUUGAAUGCAAACUAUCUGAGCCUGAAUGCCCUUUACCACAGAUCUAAGGCAUGAAGAACUUCUCUUUCUUUUAUUUUCUCGUUUUUUCUGAACACGUUUUUGCUUUUGUGAUCAGGUAAAAUUCGAUCAGUUCGUUGAACAAGGUAAAGUUCUCCAUAACUAUGCCUCGAUCCUCGAACUGCUACUUCGAUUACGGCAAGCUUGUGAUCAUCCUUUUCUUGUUCUGAGGUAGAAAAUGCAUCCUCUUAUGUCUGAAGUUCCUGACGUUUUCUUCGUCACGCAGCCGUGGCGAUACUGAAGACUUUGCGGACCUGGGAAAGCUGGCUAGACGUUUCUUGGACAAGAAUUCCUCCCAGGUGCCUUCGACGGCUAUGUCAAAGAGGUGGUGGAUGAUAUUCGUAAAGGAGAAAGUGCUGAGUGCCCAAUUUGUUUGGAGAUGCACGCAGUUCUUACACCAUGCGCUCAUUGAAUGUGAGCGCCGGAGGUCCCUGUCCAAUAUCCGAGGUAACAUAUUGUUUUUUUUCUCGAGCUCUUUUCCAUAUCCAUAGCUAUCAUGCAGGCGUUCCUGUACGAAAUAGGAACUCAUAACUGUACCAACAAGUAAUCGGUUUCGAAUAAAUGUCGAGGAGCAGUGGAAGGAGUCGUCCAAAGUCGAGGCUCUGCUGCACCACCUCCAGACGUUAAGUGAGGCCGGGUCGAAAAGCGUUGUUUUUAGUCAGUGGACAGCGUUUCUCGACUUGUUAGAGAUACCAUUGAAAAGGUACGAGCGUCUUUCCUUUUGGUGCUUUCUCUUUGUUUGUGUUUCUAACAAUGCACUGCCAGGAAGAACUUCUGUUUCGUCCGCUUGGACGGAACACUAUCGCAGCGUCAGCGAGAACAAGUGCUCAAAAACUUCAGCAAUAUUCCAGCCGUGGCCGUAAGCUUUUCGUGUUGCUUACCUCCAAGAAACCACUCUAUUUUGUGGACAGGUCAUGCUCAUGCUUUUCUCAUGGUAUGCGCUAUAGUUAUCUUUUUUAGCCAUCUUCCGAGUCGAGCAUCGGUCAGACGAAGAACGUAUCGAUCAAGCGAUUCAUCGUCAAAGUAAGCGCCAGUUGAAACUCUCUUUGACGUUUCUCAUGUCUCUAGAGCAGGACUCGGUGGAGGAGAGAAUGCAACAGGUCCAAGCGAGGAAGCAGCGAUUGAUCGCGGGGGCUCUCACAGACGAAGAGGUGCGAAGCGCUCGAAUCGAGGAGCUCAAAAUGCUAUUUAGAUGAGAAGAACUGGAACAUAGUUAAAGAGGGGAAUAUUAAAGAGGGGAAUAUGCUUCUAGCAUCGGCGCGUAGAUAGUUCAUAGGCUAUGGAUAUAGGAGCUUUGGCUAGGUUACAAGCAUUUCUAGGUUUCUUCGCGGCUAUGGCGGACAGCGAAGGAGCAGGCGAUCGCGUCGCAAGCGCGUUUGAUUCCGGCAGCAUCGGCGACGAGCAAGGUAUGCAUGCUAGGAUCGCCUCGAGAAGCAGCAGCAGCGCCGGCGCCGGCGCCGCGCCGCGAUUUCGCUGGCCUAGAGCCGAGUAGCCGAUCUAGAUUCAUGCAAGCAUAUGAUCUCUAGGAAAUUGAGCUGAACGCUGAGGCUUUGCAGGCGAUCGCGUCGAUUCCUCUGGUCUCCGCGGCCGGGGCGGCUAGAAAGCCGGGGCGCAUUCUAGAGUUUCGGGGUUUCUGGGGCGAUCAGUCAUGUAGCGGGCAGUGAUUCUCUCACAGGGAGCUGGAAGUCAGCCAUGACGUGGAAUCCGCCACAAGUUCCUCCCAGCUUGUCCGCCUUGACUGCCACUACUCAGGCCGACGAUGAACUGGGCGUGGAUGUGUCGUCUCCCAGCGGCGAUUUGCUACUCCAAUUUCUCAAGAGUGGUGGGGGCGACGAGCAGCUGAGGAGCAGUAGCAGCUACAGGACCCAGCAGUCGCAGCUCACGGUCCCUGCCACAGCUUUGCUCCUUCUGGAGGAGGAGGAGAAGGUCCUCCUCCACGACCACUCUACGUCCCAGCAACAAGAUUUGGUGGGUGGUCACCUCACUUCCAGCGGCACCAAAACCCACUUUUCCCUUCGGAUCCAUUCUUGACUCCGUCGGACCACUGAUUUCGACGCUCGUUUGCUCCUCUUCCAGUCGAGAGACCGUUCCAUCCGCCAGUGCCGUAUCCUUCUCCAAAUGCUCCGACUUUCCAGCCUGCUGAUAAUGUGGUUCAUCCGCCGCAUUCCUCUGGGGAGCUUAAAGCUCGUCCUGGCCUUCACUUCGAGUCUCCGGUGUUUGGACCCAGCGCAGCAGAGACCUCGGACUCCAAGCGCGCCCCAGAGCAGCCGAGGAGAUCGGUUACACCUGCGAAGGAUGACAAGCAACAAUUCCACGGCAAUGGUUCCGAGCUCCUUCAGUUGUUACAGGGUGGUCCUGGUCGUGUGAAGCCCACAGCCUCCACAAAGGUGGAUGCUACACAGGACAGUGGGGAUUCUGGAGAGCCAUCAAAGAAAGGAAGUCCAUCUGCUGUUCACGGCCCCAUAGGACCGCCGAGGCGUCAUGUCGUUUCUCCUCCGCAGAGUCCAAAUGACCUCCUUGGACGUUUGUGGGCUGCUCUUCCGUCGUCAAGCCACACUUCGUUUGACGGAGAAAGCGAAUGCAAGACGUCAGCCCGGAGCUUUGGCGUUGAAGUGAACGAGAUGUCCCGGGAAGUCGAUGGAGGUGGAGCUGCUGGUUUCGCACUUUUGAAGCGAAGGGGAUCGGAGCCUGCCGCCUCGCACUACCUUUAAACGACUACGACUAUAACGACUCUUAAGACAAAUGAUAAGCCGAGGACAAACUCAGCAUCCGGAAGACUACAGGACUAUCGUGGGAGAUACGUAAAUGGAGAGGCCGAAUUUGAGCCCGGAGGCGAUGACUUUAGAGAUGCGGGAAGGCGUCGAGGUCCCGGUCGUGCAGACGCCAGACGCGGUGGUCGGGGUGCUGUUGGCCAGUGGAUUGCGGUAAGUGAGAGGCAUAAAGAUGCUGAGCCAAGUGACAUCACCUCCUGCGGUAUCUCUGAUGGAAGGGACGAGUCGCUUAAAUCUUGAAACGGGACUUAGUCGAAUGCUCGGAGAAAACAUCAACAGGAAUGGAGGAUAAAACAGGCCGACUCAAAGGCAGCAUUUCCAGCGGAGGAAAAACCGGACUACAAGGUUCCAAAGGCACGGUCUUUGGCAUCUCAACUUGAACGUCCAGGCUUGCCAUCGGGAAGUACGCAAAUCUCUUCCGUUGGUGCGGCUUUUGAGGAGUCCAAACAGCGGCUCCAUAAUCUAGAUGCUUUGGAAGGAGAAGGCGUGACGACCUCUCUAGAUCUCGAGGAGCUACAAAUUGACGGUCACCGUCGUGAGGGUAAAGCUCCACAGUUUACAAGGUUUGUGCUUGCUUUUUUUCUUUCUUUAUUUUCAUGUGUUUGUAUCUCUGGUUACAGCCGAAGGAGAACCGUUUCAGGGAGUCCAGACGCGUCAUUCCCAUGCACAGACGUGAUCUUCUUUACCGACUGGAUCUGCUGAGUUUCACUCGUGAGCUUUUCUGCCUCUACGACGAGCUUAUACCAACCGAAGAAGGGGAGGUCCGGAGAAGGAAGUUCUUCUCGAAGCUUAAGUCCCUUUUCGAGAGGGAGCUCCCGGGAACACGGCUCUUUCUUUUCGGAUCGUGUGUUAAUGCGUUUGGAGUUUGUAACAGUGACAUCGAUGUUUGCCUCUCCAUUGAUGAGGAAGAACCAAACAAGAUCGAAACUCAACGUGACUCAUGGGAUAGUUUCUUAUCCGAAUUCUUAGCCAUCCUCCGAUCCAGAGAACUUUCCUUUCAUUGUUCUUGGCAACAGGGUUGAUGUCGAUGGAGAGAACAGUAGAGUGGUGAGCUCUUUUGUUUCAUCUCUUGCCUCACUUUAAAGCUUGUGUGUCCAGGUUUCCGAGAAGAAAGCCAAGGCCUGGUGUGCUUCCAAGGGAAACAUUCUAUACUUUGAGGCGUCUGCCAAGGAAGACUACAACCUGGAGGCUGCGUUUCAAUGCAUUGCCAAGAAUGCCUUGAGGAGCGAACCCGAGGAAGACUUGUAACUUUUGCUUGUUUCUUCUUGUGAUGUUUCAAGCUCACAUUUAACUUCUGGCAGCAGCUAUCUUCCAGAGACAAUGGACAUUACAAAUAACAACAGAUGGCCAAGAUCGUCUGGCUGCGAGUGCUGAUCUACUACUACUGUCCCUCUAUCGAUGAGUGUUUUCGCUUUCAUUUUAUAUGUUUUUUUAAUUUCUUUUUAUUUUUACUCUCUCCUUUCGAUCGUUGGCCUUGGAUUUUUUCCCUUCUCAAUUUUUUUUUCUUUUUGCUACGAAAUAAUUUUUCUUCUUCGAUCUUGUAUCUAUUUACUACUAGUAGUGUGCAAAUUCUUGUGUUUGUGUAUUAUUAAAUUUUCUUCGUUUCUAAUGGAUUGCUAGUUGACGAUAAUUGUGUCACAACAUGCCUAGUUUUUCUGGAUUCCACAAGUCUGGGUUGAAAAUAAGCAAAGGCUGUGAUUGACACAAGAGUUUCCAAUCCUUGGCAGUGAUGCAACUUCGAAGCUGUGUAACCCUUUCAUUGUCUUAUUCAGCCACCAACUUCAUUGUCCAAAAGUAUGGGGAAUGUGGCAAUGUGGAUGGCUUGCACAAACCAAACCAAUCAGGAUCGAGAGAGAUCGCGCUACAUUGAUCUCGAAAGUGCAUAUUCUUAAUAUUGUUAUGUUUUCCAUAUUUUACCAUUUAUUCUAUACACAAGGUUUUAAAAUACUAGUAAUAUCGAUUUGUAAGAAAAAAAAAGAAACUGUUUCUUCUCCAAACGCUGCUGACGCUGUGAAAUCUCUGUUUUCGUUUUUUGAUGUCCUGCUUGUGAUGCAAAAUAGUCGCAGAUCUUCAAGAACCCAAUCAACGUCCACGGAAGGAGCAAGGUUUAUUAGGCGCCGAAACUUAUCUGGAGAUCCGGCCGUUCCACAAGCCAAGGUGGAACUUUCGUACCUUUUGGGCACCAUAGGAAUUUGAGCCUUGGAAAUAAGUGAUUGUCUGAACUCAAUUGGGGCCACACUACAUCAUCAUGAUCAGAGAGCACAAGUUCCUCCAAUCCUGGAAGGGAUGCAAUGGAUGAUGGAAUAUCUUCGAUCCCAGACAAGCGCACACGUCUUAAAAGAGUCAUUUGGUCUGUUGGCUCAAAGAAAUCAUUGGGGAGCUUACAGCGCAAAGAUAAUGUGAACCGUUUCACCUUCAGCUGUGAUCUCUCGGUUGGCAUCAAGAGUCUCCUCAUGUAACUUUUUAUAUCAACAUCCAGUGUAUCAAGGUCUUUGGGGAGUUGUGUCACAAAGAGAGGCAAAUGCUCCCAUGCAUUAUCAGGAGCCAGAUUGAAUGUUAAACUUUUCAGGUUUGGAAGACUUGCUGCCAAAUCGUCCUUGAACUCGGACUGUGCAAUGUGCAGAUUUCGAAGCUCCAGACGUUCGAGGCAUGGGAACGAUCCAUCCAGACUGAAGAACUGGAUACCAAUGCAGUCUAGGAGAAGUUCUCGUAGCCGUUGAAAGCCCUUUACCCAACACAAGUCUUUCAUUGUCUCAUUCUUUCUGAUCCAUAAAAUUUGUAACUGUGACCAUUCAAGGCUUUCGGCAUUGUUUUCACCAUCUCGUACCCCGUCAAUGGAAAAGCUCCAAAGCUGUUUGGAAUUCUUAAACAUUCGCUUCCAGUCAAGUUUGAUAGUCGAUUGCACGCUAAUGUCACAUCGUCUUAGAUUGACAAGUUGCCACAGGCUGGUGAAAUCACCAAAGUCCAUGCUCUUUGCACGCCACACCAGUGUCUCAAUGCCCUCUAGUGCACCAAGGCUGUGAGGUAUUUUUAUUGUUGCACCAUAGAGGUUUAGCUUUAAAUGUCUUAGCUUGUGUAAGAUUGAAAUUCCACUCAAAUCCACAGCUAACUCCUCAAAGGAAUCAAGCUCCAGCUCUUCCAAGUUGAAUAAUUGAGGCAGUAAUGCAAAGUUGAAUUUUCUGAUGUCAUUGCAUUUCAAAACCUUCAGUGAUGUCAAGCUGAAGAGCGCAUCUGGUAAUAUUGUCACACUUGAAUAUAGAAGGUCAAGCACUUGAAGGUUUCUCAGCUUGGAUAUGCUCUCUGCAAUAAAACGGACCAAAUUAACGCAUCUAUUCAAGCUCAAUACCUUGACGUUUUGGAUGUGAUCUAUAUCCACACCAGAAAUUACAUUACAUCCAUCGAGAAGCAAGACAUCUCGCACAUGAAUGUCAGACAAAAGGCUGCUUGUAACCUUCUUUCCAAUGAAUGAAACUUUAGAAAAUGUUGGAGAAAUCCCAGGUGGACAAUCAUAGCCAAACAGGCAUCCCUUCUCAUGCUCUUCCUGGGGUGGGUACUUCCCUUUCAAGAUUCUUAUGCACAGCUUGCGUACCAUAUCGUGCACAGUUACAUACUUAUACCAUGGAGAACCAGUUGUCUUCACUAGGCAUCUUCGUUUCAGUUCACUAACAAUCUGCAGAGGCGGGAGUUCUGACCCAACCGCUAUCCAACAUUUUCUCAGAUCAUCAAACUGGAUUCGCUCAUCUUCUGGAAACGCAGCCACAUAGAGAAAGCAUUCUUGCAGCUUUUCAUCCUUAUUAAAGCGUCCCAGCUCGUCAUAGCUAAACUUCAAGGGCCGGAACAUCCGCUUCUCAAUGUCCCCGUCAUUCAACAAAUGCAUCUUCUGAUAGCGUUCUUCCCACACCUGUGGCCCCUUAUUCCUGUAGACAGCCAUGGCACUGCCAAUCACUUCAAGAGCUAAAGGGAGCCCCUCACAUUUGCUAGCUAUUCUCUCGGCAACUUUCACAAUGUCCGGAUCACUAGGUAGUGAAUCACGAAAGGCAAACUUCCAAAACAUCUUUUCGCUCUCGGCCUUUGAUAGCAUACACACACGAAAUGUUUUUGCACCCAGCAUGCUCAAAAUGCCUUUCUUUCUGGUUGUUACCAGCACCCGGCUGUAAGAGGACGGCCCUGCUGUAAAAUCCAGUCCCUUGGUCAAGCUCAUUUCCCACACAUCAUCCAGUAUCAACAAGACAUGGUUGCCACGAGCAACAUUUUGUGCCAUCUGUUGCACAUGCUCAAUGGUGCCUGCAUUUUGGGCCCUCUCCUUCAUGUCGCCCCAUUCAAGAGCGUUGAGGAGCUGGGCCCUGAGAUCAUCCUCCGAUGCAUCUUUCUUGACAGUAAUCCACACAAUGUUGUCAUGGAAAUGCUGCCGGACCCUCUGGUCAUUGUGCACGAAGCUUGCAAGGGUGGUCUUGCCACACCCUCCCAUUCCCAGGAGUCCAAACCAUUUCCCCGGGGCUUGUGGAUCCAGGAGGGCAUUCACCACCUCAUCCACCUGCUCCCCAUGGCGGCCAAACAUGUCGUUGGCCUCGGGAACACCACGCGGUACAUAGUUUACGAGACCUCUGUCUUGUGGACAACUCCGUACGGAAAAGCUGGUGCUCGACUGUAUCACUCUCAACUCUUCUCGCUCGUACCUUUCAAUCUGCGGGAGGAGAUCGUCCUCGCAAGUGCGUACCAGCUCCAAAAUCGCGCCAGAUCGCUUCUCCCUGCGCGAUAGAUCCAUCUUUUAGCUUCAUUGCUUCAAACAUGAAUUCGAAUAAGCCUUACUGUGAUCCAAGCAGCGCUUGCGCCUUCUCAGUCCAUUCAGUCAGUUCAGUCAGCCACGCCUCAGCCUCACCAGAGUAGCGGAAAUCUGGAUUCCUGUGCUUGGGAGCAUUAAACUUGUCAAGCGUGGCCUGGAUUCUGGAUGCCCUCUUCUUUAGCUCCUGCCAUUUCUACACACAGCUGCCUGCCAUUUCUACACACACACACACACAAAAGAUAAAAUGCUACUGUACCGACCGCUUUAUGGGGCUCCAGAUCCUGUUGUGGCGUGAUCGCAAGAGUGCUUGUGCCGUGGUGUUCCAUUUCCUGACACGCUCCAAGCAUUUCUCGGCCGCUUCAGAGAACAUAAAGCCAGGUCCAUUUCGCUCCUUGUGGCGAUCGAAAGCGUUGAUCUUGGCCUGGAUGUGGUGCGCCUUGUUCUCCAGCGUUUCAAUGUUGGCAUUGCAGUCUCUUAGCAGGGCCCAGAGCCAAGCCACACAAGACGCCUGUCAAGGAGCCCACAACCUCCAUGCCUGUAGACCUACAAGUAAAGGUCGUCUCCCAGAACUCUUGGCCUUGGUACCCCCUCUUAAAAUGAACAGUAAUUCUCAGAGGGGUAUAAGCUGUUACAAGUGACUUGAGUUUAAUUGGAGUUGAUUGCUUGCAGUAGAGCGCGUAGUAGAGGGCCUCGUGCAGCACCCUCCCUCUUGCAAUGCCAGCUGUGGCUCUCUCUCUCUCUCUCUCUCUCCUCGUGCAGCACCCUCCCUCUCUCUCUCACUCUCUCUCAUUGCUCCGACAAGCAUGCUCCGACAUUGUAAGUUUCUCCAGGAGAGGUAACUUUUGUCGCUUUGUUUUAGUUGCACACAGAUAGGACGCGUUCCAGCUGACUGGGCCACGUGUUUGAUUGCUUUGGGUCAGGAAAGCGUACUCUGGGUCAUUCUUCACUAUUUUUGAGACUAGAAUUUUUGGUUUAUUUUGUAAUGGAAAACAAUAUACUUUUGAACUUGCCAAGCUUGUAUAUAUUAUAUAAUAUAUGAGGAAAAAGAAGUGAAAUACACUGUAAAUGCAUAAAAAAAUAACAACUAUUAAUAAAGUAAUAUAAUAACAAAUUAAUAUAAGUAGUUUUAUUUUUUUCCACUCAAAUUUAGCAAAUACUUGCAAGAAUUUUCUAAGCUUAAUAUAACAAUUUUAAAAAAAUUAGUGGAAUUACUUCUUGAAUUUAAGUUUUCUCUUGCUAACAUGAAGUAAUUCUAUAAGAAUGAAAACUAUAUUUAUCAGUUGCCAAAUGCCUACAAAAUUAAAACUGAAUAAACCUUAAAGUACAUUGUUGAGCAGAGUGUGAAAUUUAGACAAUUGAUUAUAUCUAAAGAGGCUUGGUCCAUAAAUACUUGGGACUACACCACUAUGACAUUAAAAAAUUAAAAUGUAAUUAAAACCAUAACUAUUAUAUAAAAAUUUAUAUGCAACACUAUAUCUGAAUUGUGAAUAAAAUUAUAUGAACAAAAUUGGCAAACAUCAGUUUCAAAACUAUAUAGGUAUCAGUAAAUUAUAUAGAAAAGUAUAUGUACAUUUAUUCUCAAAAUACAACUCAAUCAUAUGCAAAACUAUACAAAAAACCAUUCAUUAUGAUUGCCAAAUAGAGCAUCUAUCAUGAUGAAAACUAUGUACAAAACCAUUAGUAAUUAAGAAACCAAUCAUGAAACCAUUAAAGUCACAUAUGGUUUAACACAACCAUCUUGUUUUGGUACUAGUUAUAGUAAAAAACCAUAUUGAUGAGCGUGUUGUGGUUGUAAUGCUGGGCAACACUAUGCGACACUCCGGGUUUUAGAAAUAGGAAGAGGCUCCAGCUUAAGGCUCCGACCCCAGCGUUGGUAAAUCGUCGACGACAGGGAGUUCUAGAUCUACGGUGACAACAUAGGCCCCUGCGGCAAAAUGUUCCAUCGGCAGUGGAUCGCCAAAAACUCCUGCAAAAGCUGAGGCUUCUAGGACAGCAAAACUUGCCGAGGUGAGCAAUGAUAGUGGAGCAGAGGAUUCAUAUGAUUCGGGAGUAGAAAGUGGAGCAAUCGAUGGUGGAGAAGAAGAGGUAAACAAGAUCAUGACUGGAGGAGGAAACAAUGCCGAGGUGGAAAGAACAACAGUGGUGGAGAGCUCCAUUGAGACUGUCAGGAAACAUGGCGAGGCUGUUUCUAGCGCCUUAGCUGGACUUUCAAUCAGAGGUAGUGCCUUGACCCACGGUAAUCCCGUUAAGAUGGAAGAUGGUUGUGGUUCCGUGAAAGCUGAAGCUUCGGCUUCGAUCGCAGCUGGAUGUGAUCCUAUGAAAGUAGAUGGGUUGGUGAAGAUGGAAGCUGGUUUUGAGUCUGCAAGAGUCGAAGCUCCGGUUGGCUCAGUGAAGAUGGAACCUGGUAAUGAUCCUGUGAAAGUUGAAACUCCAUUCGGGGGUGGUAAAGCUGCCCAUUUGUCUGAAGCGCAGUUGGUUCCAAUAGAAAAUGACACGGCUAAAGCUGCAGAGAAGCAACCGGUUGUUUUAGAUGCAGAGAGGUGGUGGCUUCUCCAAGAGACUGAAGUUGCCGGGUACUCGACGUCCAGGGGAUGCCGGAUUCGUGUUGGCGAGUUCGUGUCCUUCAAUUUUCCCAAGCCUGAAGCCGAAAGUAAGAAGAAGUUCUUUGAGCACAAGAAGGUUCGGCCGAAAGCGAGCUCCGACAUUGUAAGGUUCUUGACAAAAGCUUCAGGAGAGGUACGUUUCACUUGACUUGUUUCUUCGUUUUAAUUCUAACCAUUUGCUCACAGAGAGGACGGCUUCCAGCCGACUGGUGAUACCUUUGGGAAGUGCAAAAUGGCACCAGAGGCUCUUUCUCUUAUGAACAGCAUAGUUCUCCAUUUUUCUGUGUUUACCAGAGACGUUACGUAUAUGAUGUGCUUGCAGAGUUUAUAUCAACAAGUCAGAAGCCUUACGAAGAGGGGGAUGAGCGCGGAUUGAAGCUUCUGCAAGCUAUCUUGAAGCCGUUAAUGCUUCGAAGAACAAAAGAUUCAACUGAUAAAGAAGGAAGGUAAGCAUUUUUUCCUUUGCACCGUGCCUUGUCUUGUAUUCACUCACAAGUUGGAUUCACAGACCAAUCUUGUUCUCCAACCGGCUCAAUAUGAAGUUAUUGUAUCCAUAUCCAUAGCUAUCAUGCAGGCGUUCCUGUACGAAAUAGGAACUCAUAACUGUACCAACAAGUAAUCGGUUUCGAAUAAAUGUCGAGGAGCAGUGGAAGGAGUCGUCCAAAGUCGAGGCUCUGCUGCACCACCUCCAGACGUUAAGUGAGGCCGAGUCGAAAAGCGUUGUUUUUAGUCAGUGGACAGCGUUUCUCGACUUGUUAGAGAUACCAUUGAAAAGGUACGAGCGUCUUUCCUUUUGGUGCUUUCUCUUUGUUUGUGUUUCUAACAAUGCACUGCCAGGACGAACUUCUGUUUCGUCCGCUUGGACGGAACACACUCGCAGCGUCAGCGAGAACAAGUGCUCAAAAACUUCAGCAAUAUUCCAGCCGUGGCCGUAAGCUUUUUGUGUUGCUUACCUCCAAGAAACCACUCUAUUUUGUGGACAGGUCAUGCUCAUGCUUUUCAUGGUAUGUGCUAUAGUUUUCUUUUUUAGCCAUCUUCCGAGUCGAGCAUCGGUCAGACGAAGAACGUAUCGAUCAAGCGAUUCAUCGUCAAAGUAAGUGCCACUUGAAACUCUCUUUGACGUUUCUCAUGUCUCUAGAGCAGGACUCGGUGGAGGAGAGAAUGCAACAGGUCCAAGCGAGGAAGCAGCGAUUGAUCGCGGGGGCUCUCACAGACGAAGAGGUGCGAAGCGCUCGAAUCGAGGAGCUCAAAAUGCUAUUUAGAUGAGAAGAACUGGAGUCCUUAGCAACUUAUAUCAGUGUACAUAGUUAAAGAGGGGAAUAUGCUUCUAGCAUCGGCGCGUAUAUUCUUCUGAUAGUUCAAUGUAGGUUUCUUCGCGGCUACGGCGGACAGCAGGCGAUCGCGUCGCAAGCGGCGACGAGCAAGGUAUGCAUGCUAGGAUCGCCUCGAGAAGCAGCAGCAGCGCCAGCGCCGGCGCCGCGCCGCGAUUUCGCUGGCCUAGAGAGCCGGAGUAGCCGAUCUAGAUUCAUGCAAGCAUAUCAUCUCUAGGAAAUUGAGCUGAACGCUGAGGCUUUGCAGGCGAUCGCGUCGAUUCCUCUCGUCUCCGCGGCCGGGGCGGCUAGAAAGCCGGGGCGCAUUCUAGAGUUUCGGGGUUUCUGGGGCGAUCAGUCAUGUAGCGGGUAGAGCCGUUGGUGCGGCUUUUGAGGAGUCCAAACAGAGGCUCCAUAAUCUAGAUGCUUUGGAAGGAGAAGGCGUGACGACCUCUCUAGAUCUUGAGGAGCUACAAAUUGACGGUCACCGUCGUGAGGGUAAAGCUCCACAGUUUUACAAGGUUUGUGCUUGCUUUUUUUCUUUCUCUAUUUUCAUGUGUUUGUAUCUCUGGUUACAGCCGAAGGAGAACCGUUUCAGGACCUCUGAAGAACUAAAGGUAUGCAUAUGCAUAUUCUUAAUAUUGUUAUGUUUUCCAUGUUUUACCAUUUACUCUAUACACCAGAUUUUAAAAUACUCAAAACCACGAGAGUAAAGUAAUAUCCUGAGAAUACGAUUUGUAAGAAAAACAGAAACUGUGUCUUCUCCAAACGCUGCUGACGGCUUGGAAAUCUCUGUUUUUGUUUUUUGAGUGAUGCAAAAUAGUGUAGCAUUUGCGCAGAUCGAGAACCCAAUCGAUGUCCACUGAAGGAGCAAGGUUUAAUCCCAGAAUGUUAUCUGGAGAUCCGGCCGCUCCUCAAGCCAUGGUGGAACUUUCGUAGCUUUUUGGCAGCGUAGGACUUUGAGCCUGGGAAAUAAGCCAAGGCCGUGAUUGUCUGAACUCAAUUGGGGCCACACUACAUCAUCAUGACCAGAGAGCACAAGUUCCUCCAAUCCUGGAAGGGAUGCAAUGGAUGAUGGAAUAUUUUCGAUCCUAUUCAAGGUUACAUCUCUUAGAGCAGUCAUUUGGUAUGUUGGCUCAAAGAAAUCAUUGGGGAGCUGCCUCAUACAGCCCGUCCGCAAAGAUAAUGCGAACCCUUUCACCUUCAGCUGUGAUCUCUCGGUUGGCAUCAAGAGUCUCCUCAUGUAACCUUCUACUCUCAGUCCAUCAAGGUCUUUGGGGAGUUGUGUCACAAAGAGAGGCAAAUGCUCCCAUGUAUUAUCAGGAGCCAGAUAGAAUCUUAACCACUUCAGGUUUGGAAGACUUGCUGCCAAAUCAUCCUUGAACUUCGACUGUGCAAUGCGCAGAUUUCGAAGCUCCAGAUGUUUGAGGCAUGGGAACGAUCCAUCCAGACUGAAGAACUGGAUACCACUGCGGUCUAGUUGAAGUUCUCGUAGCCGUUGAAAGACCUUUAGCCAAGACAGGUCUUUCAUUGUCUCAUUGUUUAUGAUCGUUAAAAGUUGUAGCUGUGGCCAUUCAAGGCUUUCGGCAUUGUUUUCACCGUCUUGUACCCCGUCAAUGGAAAAGCUCCAAAGCUGUUUGGAAUUCUUAAACAUUCGCUUCCAGUCAAGUUUGAUAGUCGAUUGCACACUAAUGUCACAUCGUCUUAGAUUGACAAGUUGCCACAGGUCGGUGAAAUCACCAAAGUCCAUGCUCUUUGCCCGCAACUCCAGUGUCUCCAUGGCCACUAGUGCACCAAGGCUGUGAGGUAUUUUUAUUGUUGCACCAUAGAGGUCUAGCUUUAAAUGUCUUAGCUUGUGUAGGCUUGAAAUUCCACUCAAAUUCACAGCUAACUCCUUACCGGAAUGAAGCUCCAGCUCUUCCAAGUUGAAUAAUUGGGGCAGUAAUGCAAAGUUGAAUUUUGUGGUAUUAUCGCAUUUCAAAACCUUCAGUGAUGUCAAGCUGAAGAGCGCAUCUGGUAAUAUUGUCACACUUGAAUAUAGAAGGUCAAGCACUUGAAGGUUUCUCAGCUUGGAUAUGCUCUCUGGAAUAAAACGGACCUGAUCAGAGCAGUGAAGCAAGCUCAAUACCUUGACAUU